UACGGAGGGUGCGAGCGUUGUCCGGAAUCACUGGGCGUAAAGGGCGCGUAGGCGGCGCGGGAAGUCCAUGGUGAAAGCCCGAGGCUCAACUUCGGGUCGGCCAAGGAUACUCCCGGGCUCGAGCACUGUAGAGGCAGGUGGAAUUCCGGGUGUAGCGGUGGAAUGCGUAGAGAUCCGGAGGAACACCGGUGGCGAAGGCGGUCUGCUGGGGUGAGGCUGACGCUGAUGCGCGACAGCGUGGGGAGCAAACAGG
rnacentral:rRNA from 1 species